rnacentral:rRNA from 1 species
GAUGAACGCUGGCGGCGUGCCUAACACAUGCAAGUCGAGCGAGAAAUUUAUGAACGAAACUUCGGUCUAGGGAUUAAAUGGAAAGCGGCGGACGGGUGAGUAACGCGUAGGCAACCUGCCCCUUACAGAGGGAUAGCCUCGGGAAACCGGGAUUAAAACCUCAUAACACAUCAUAAACACAUGUUUGAGAUGUCAAAGAUUUAUCGGUAAGGGAUGGGCCUGCGUCUGAUUAGCUAGUUGGUAGGGUAACGGCCUACCAAGGCAACGAUCAGUAGCCGACCUGAGAGGGUAAUCGGCCACAUUGGAACUGAGACACGGUCCAAACUCCUACGGGAGGCAGCAGUGGGGAAUAUUGCACAAUGGGCGAAAGCCUGAUGCAGCAACGCCGCGUGAGCGAAGAAGGCCUUUGGGUCGUAAAGCUCUGUCGGAAGGGAAGAAACAAAUGACGGUACCUUCUGAGGAAGCCCCGGCUAACUACGUGCCAGCCGCCGCGGUAACAC